GGCACUGUGACUCAGUGGUUAGAGUGCCACUCAUGCAAGGUGGAGGUCCCAGGUUCAAUCCCAGGCAUGGCCA